GAUGAACGCUAGCUACAGGCUUAACACAUGCAAGUCGAGGGGCAGCACUAGGUAGCAAUACUGAGGUGGCGACCGGCGCACGGGUGCGUAACGCGUAUCCAACCUUCCCAUUACUCUUGGAUAGCCUUCCGAAAGGGAGAUUAAUACAAGAUGGUAUUCAAAUUCCGCAUGUUAUUUGAAUUAAAGAUUUAUCGGUAACGGAUGGGGAUGCGUGACAUUAGAUAGUAGGCGGGGUAACGGCCCACCUAGUCUACGAUGUCUAGGGGUUCUGAGAGGAAGGUCCCCCACACUGGAACUGAGACACGGUCCAGACUCCUACGGGAGGCAGCAGUGAGGAAUAUUGGUCAAUGGUCGGAAGACUGAACCAGCCAAGUAGCGUGAAGGAUGAAGGUUCUAUGGAUUGUAAACUUCUUUUAUACGGGAAUAAAACCUCCCACGUGUGGGAGCUUGUAUGUACCGUAUGAAUAAGCAUCGGCUAACUCCGUGCCAGCCGCCGCUGUAAUAC
rnacentral:rRNA from 1 species